rnacentral:rRNA from 1 species
UACGUAGGGUGCAAGCGUUGUCCGGAAUUAUUGGGCGUAAAGAGCUCGUAGGCGGUUUGUUGCGUCGGCUGUGAAAUCCCGAGGCUCAACCUCGGGUCUGCAGUCGAUACGAGCAAACUAGAGUGUUGCAGGGGAGACUGGAAUUCCUGGUGUAGCGGUGAAAUGCGCAGAUAUCAGGAGGAACACCGGUGGCGAAGGCGGAUCUCUGGGCCAUUACUGACGCUGAGGAGCGAAAGCCAGGGGAGCAAACGGG